rnacentral:rRNA from 1 species
AUUGAACGCUGGCGGCAGGCCUAACACAUGCAAGUCGAGCGGUAGAGAGGUGCUUGCAUCUCUUGAGAGCGGCGGACGGGUGAGUAAUGCCUAGGAAUCUGCCUAGUGGUGGGGGAUAACGUUCGGAAACGGACGCUAAUACCGCAUACGUCCUACGGGAGAAAGCGGGGGAUCUUCGGACCUCGCGCCAUUAGAUGAGCCUAGGUCGGAUUAGCUAGUUGGUGAGGUAAUGGCUCACCAAGGCGACGAUCCGUAACUGGUCUGAGAGGAUGAUCAGUCACACUGGAACUGAGACACGGUCCAGACUCCUACGGGAGGCAGCAGUGGGGGAAUAUUGGACAAUAGGGCGAAAGACCUGAUCCAGCCACUGCCGCGUGUGUGAAGAAGGUACUUCGGAUUGUAAAG